GGCCUGAUGGUCUAGUAGUAUGAUUCCUCGUUCGGGCGAAAGUGUCCAGAUUGUCUAGAUCUCAAAUCGAGGAGGUCCCGGGUUCAAUUCCCGGUCAGGCCC
rfam:Agaricus bisporus var. burnettii JB137-S8 unplaced genomic scaffold AGABI1scaffold_3, whole genome shotgun sequence.